rnacentral:rRNA from 1 species
GACGAACGCUGGCGGCGUGCUUAACACAUGCAAGUCGAGCGUAAGGCCCUUUCGGGGGUACACGAGCGGCGAACGGGUAGAGUAACACGUGGGUGACCUGCCCUCAGCUCUGGGAUAAGCCUGGGAAACCGGGUCUAAUACUGGAUAUGACUCCAUGACGCAUGUUGUGGGGUGGAAAGCCUUGUGCGGCUGAGGAUGGGCCCGNGGCCUAUCAGCUUGUUGGUGGGGUGANGGCCUACCAAGGCGACGACGGGUAGCCGGCCUGAGAGGGCGACCGGCCACACUGGGACUGAGACACGGCCCAGACUCCUACGGGAGGCAGGCAGUGGGGAAUCUUGCGCAAUGGGCGAAAGCCUGACGCGAGCGACGCCGCGUGAGGGAUGA